GGACCGAAGUUUGGAACCGGGAACGAGUGGACCCGGUGAGAGACCCGAGAUUGGGAGCAGCUCCCCGGGUAAAGGCUGCAACAGCCUCCGAUGGCGGAGGUGAAGAUUCGGGCGCAGAUUCCGUGAGAUGUUUCAGCCACACAGGGGGAGCCCGGUCUUUCCCCGCCGUGGAUCGGGGCCUGUUGUCCGGAGUUUCCUCCCGGUCCUGUCUCCUGCUGCUGGGAUACGGGAGCAGGCCCGCAGCGGCUGCCGAUGGAACCCCGGUGUGUGAGCGCUCCCCUGUGCAAAAGGACAGGCUGAAGGUCAAGGGAGAACCAGGCGCAAAGAUGCUGCCUGAGGUGCUGAGUUCCUGCAGCGUUUUGUGUGAGUCGCUUUGGAUUUCCAGCAUUUGCAGACUUUCUCCUGUCAGUUCCAGAAAUCGCCAUCAGCGACCAGGCGAUCACAUGCGCAUGCGUAAGGUCGCGAACGUAUGGACCGAGUAUUUGUCUGAAAGUUAAAUGUUUAAACAUCAUGAAAACAGCACGGCAUCAACAAAACACCAGCUGUGCAGCAGCAAAGGCUCUCUGUGUGGGAACAUUUCAGUUACUGCGCAGCUCGGAAUAAUAUGGGACAGAGAAUAAUACUAAUGGAAGGAAUCAGCCUGAGCUAAGUCACAGAUUGAAAUUCCCAUUCUCACACAGACAGGAAUACUGUUGGGCAAUUAGAUGGACAGACCAGUUGCCGGCAUCAUGAGCAGUUGGAAGGAGAGUUUUUCCCCCAACUUGGGUUGAUCCUCGCUGUAACAGUGUGAUGUCAGAGUUCAGAAAGGAGAUUAAAAUUAUUUCAUAAUAUAUCGGCUGUGAAAAUUAAUCAGAUACAGGAGCAGAAUGAGGUCGUUUGGCCCAUCGAGUCUGCUCCACCAUUUCAUUACAGCUGAUCCAUUUCCAACUCAGCUGCACUCUCCUGCCUUCUCCCCAUAUCCCUUCCUGCCCUAACUAAUCAAGAAUCCAUCACCCUCUUCCCAAAAAUAGACCCAAUUACUUGGACUCCAGAGCAACUCAUAGCAGCAAAUCCCACAGAGUCACCACGCUCCGGUUAAAGAAAUUCCUCCUCAUCUCCAUUAUGAAAGAACAAAGCUCGAUUUUGAUGCUGCGUCCUCUGGUUUUCGACUCCCCCACUCUUGUCAACAUACUCUCCACAUCCACUCUAUCGAGACUUUUCAAUGUUCGAUAGAUUUCAAUGAGGGCCCCUUCAUUAUUCUGAACUCCAGUGAGUAGAGGCCCCGAGCCAUCAAAUGUUCUUCAUCAGACAAACCUUAUAAAUCCUGAAAUAUUUUUGUAAACUUCCUUUGAACGCUCUGCAAUGUAAGCACAUCUGUUCUACUUAAGGGGCCUGAAUCUGCUCUCAAUAGUCCUAGUGAGGCCACACUUUAAAUAUACUCAACAAUACAUCCUUGCUUUUAUAUUCUCGUACUCCUCAACAUUAUUUCCUCUCCAUUGAGAAAACAGUCUGCACUCUCAUUGCCUCUAAAUAAGUGGAUGACUUCUCUGAAUGAUGACUUUCAUUCAUUGAUGUCUUUUGUAAAUCAUUUUUACAGGUUAGAAAUGGCAAAAAUUGUGUCCGGGAACUUUAAACAGUCAGUUUGCUGUCUCUGCCCAGAUAUUUAAGGAGUUACUAGAUAUUUAGCAAUGUAUCACAGUUGAUCCUUGGAGAUGAAGAAUUUUGUCAUCACAGUUGGAAAAGUGCUUUGUGAAAUGAAGUUUUCUGUUGUAACUCACUGAAAUCCACUGGAACCGGUGAGCUGAGAACACACCAGCAUUUGUUCACUGGAGAUCAGUUCUUCAACUACAUUGAUUGUGCAAGGGAUUUACUGCAUCAGACAUUUGACUUAUGAAUUGACAAAGAACCGUGGGAAGGGAUUCACUCUUCACUCACUCAUCUCACCUGCAUGCACACCAGCGAGUUCACACUGGUGAGAAGCCGUUCACCUGCUCAGACUGUGGGAAGGGAUUCGCUCAUUCAUCGCAACUGCAGAGACAUCAGUCAAUUCACACUGGGGAGAAAUCAUUCAGACUGUGAGGGGAUUCAGUUGGUCAUCUGAACUGAAGAUAGUCACACUGGGGAGAGGCCAUUCAUCUGUUCAGACUGUGGGAAAGGGUUUAUUCGGUCAUCUCAACUAAGGUACAUCAGCGAGUUCACACUGGGGAGAGGCCGUUUACCUGCUCAGUCAGUGGGAAAGGAUUCACUCAUUCAUCUGUACUGAAGGUGCAUCAGAGAAUUCACACUGGGGAGAGUCCGUUCACCUGCUCAGACUGUGGGAAGAAAUUCACUGACUUAUCCAGGCUACAGGCCCACCAGCGAGUUCAUACAGGAGAGAGGACGUUCACCUGUUCAGACUGUGGGAAGGCAUUUACUCGGUCAUCUCAAGUGAUGGUACAUGAGCGAGUCCACACAGGGGAGAGGCCAUUCUCCUGCUCCCAAUGUGGGAAGAGAUUCUCUCAGUCCUCCCACCUUGUGACGCACUACCGAGUUCACAUUGGGGAAACUAUUUAAACAGGCAACAGGCUGCAGGCUGGAUAUUUCACCAUCAGAGUUGCUGAAUCAAGUUCAAAAGUGACUGUUGGUGCCGAACUCGGCAAUUACUGCUGCUGUUUAUCAAACCCAGUUCUGCACUCUGGUCACUGGGCGUGGGAGGCAUUCCUCGGCUAAUGUUCACGUUUAGUGGGACUGGAGUUUAAUGGUUUGUAUCUGUGAUGCAAAAAUCAGUUCUAAUUUAAAUCCUGUCCACACCUACAGAAUCUCCUUUCUCUCCCAGAAUAUCAUCUCUUAUAACUGCCACAAGGCCAAAAUGUACACUUCCCUAUUAAGCUUCAGAGUGGACAGUGCUGCCGGCCUUUCUGAACAGGUGAACGGCCUCUCUCCACUAUGAACUCCCCACCCACUCAGCAGUAUCCAACAAGGUGUUCUGCUGAGGAGAACGCCCACAGGACAGCCCUGCACUGUCUUCCUAAUGACCCUUACCUCUGCUGGUGGUCACGCUUCUCCUGUCCGAAGCUUGUACUCUGGGUGUGGCCACCUCUUCAGAUGUUUCAUUGACAGUAUCUUCAGGCUCCCGAAUGAUCCUGAGUACAUCCAACUCUCUGAACCAGUCAGUCCGGCGCUGUGAUUGGGUGCACUUCCUGCAAAUAGUCAUCGGAAAACUGUCAGAUGUCCAGAGUUCCCACAUCUGACUGGAGGAACAUCCCAUCCUGACUGCUCUGCACCAAAAUACACCACUGUCUGAAUGAAUUAACAUAUGCAAGAAAAUAUCGAACGUGAAUGGGUCAAUGACAGUGGAAGUAGAGUGUUCAACUGUCUGUGUUUUUGCCAUGAGGUCGAAGGAAUAGAGGCUGCCAUUUUGUGAAGCUGCUCUUUAACCCCCAUUUUGUGAACUGAUUGCUGUGGGAUAACCUGAUCAGAUCAACUUUACACAAGAAGUUACUGGUGUUCCCAUUGUAAGCCUGAAAUCACUCUCACAUAAUCUGUGCAUUAUGUACACUGUCAGGUUUGCAGAAGCAAUCUCGUUAUCUCUGAACCUGAAGUCUCUCUGAGAUAAGGUGUGUAUUACGUACAGUGGCAGUUCUGCAGAAGGAAUCUCGAUAUUUCUGCUGAGAGUCUGAGCGACACAGUUUGUCUGUUUGGAACCAUAGUGGAGGAGAACAAAAGAAAUUACCUUUGGCAUGAUGUUGUGUAGCCCUUGGACUACUUCCAAUGGAAAUCUGUUAGUCAUCAGCCUGAUGGACCUCAGCCAACAAGAAUGAGAUGCGUCCUCUGAACUGAUAAGAGUUGUUUCAAAUGUUUCAAAUUAGGCUUGUUUCAGAACAAGUAAAGAGUUUCAAAUGCAAAGGUGUGAUAACUCCUGAGACGAACUAUCAGAAGGAAGAUCCCCCAAGGAAGGGACUGGAGAACAAAUGAUGGAUCAUUUGGAUACAGUGGGAUCCCUUGUUCCAGUGUUGUGAAUUUGAGAAGUGGUCAGGGUGUGUAUUAGUACAGAAGGAACAGUGGAAUUCAUGUUUUAAGUUGUUAGCCUGGGGUCAACGUAGUUACUUUGUUGUUUGUGUAGGAAAAAUAAAAUGCGAGCUGUGAUUAAUUACGAUUUGCCUAGUGAGUUUCCGAACUGAUUCCAGUUGAUGAACGGUGAACAUAUUUUCGCGCCCUGGGUGCACUGGAAAAGAAAGAAAAGUGGUCUGGGACCCUGGUGACGAGUUGAACCACACAGUACGUUAGGAUAUUAAACUGUGAAAUGGAAAGGACAGGCAGAACCCAGGGAUUCAGAGGAUUUCAGAGAUUACUUUCAUCGUUAAUUAUUAAGGAAAUGGUCAAAUUAUGAGGCCUGGUUAGAAAAGUUUGACAGCCAAGGGUCCGGGAUUGUGGAGGAAGAAUUGUGAAAAAUAGUUAGUGAAAAUAAAUUUAAAAAAUUACAAGGGAUUAAAAAUGUUAUAAUGUGAUGUUUGUUGGAUGAUCUAAUUGAAGUAAAGAGAGAAAAAACUGAAACUGGCGGAGGAAUUGUGUAAGUGUAGGGAAGAGUUAGAAAUUCUGACGGUGCAGGAUCCGGUGAAUUUGAUCCACAUGAGUCAGUUUCAGACUCAGUGUGAAGCGUUAACAAGGGAAAAUGAGAAAACUGAAGAGGAGUAUAAACAGGCGGAUACAGAAUUAGAGAAAGGAAAAGUCAGGGUCGGGAUUUACGGCUGUUACGAAUGUCACGAAGAAAUCGGCAGCUGAGAAGAAAGGCUGCGCUGAUCGCAAGUGUUUAAAACAGAUGGAAAAUCUGCAAAGUGAACUCUCAGCUCGGAAAGGAGUGAUAUGUGCGAGGACGGACGAUGAUGGUGAUGCAGAUUGGGGUGAUUUAACGUAUGAAGAGACGCUUGUAUCACACACCGGGUUGCUCUCUUCAGUCACCUGAUGAGGUAAUCGUAGCCUUUGGCCGGGUUCAGAUAUGGUCAGGUAGUGUCCAAAUUUCAUAGAGUGUUUCAACCGUUAACCACUACACUGUCCAGUUGGUGGAUCAGAAGUGAGGGCCAAGUCACUGCCCAACUGUUCCUGACCUCGAGCUCAAACCCUCUCUCCAGCUCCAUACCCAGUAAGGGGCUCUUUCUGCUCCCUCCCCCAUCCUGCCAGCUGCUUGCUUCUUGCUCUUUUCAUCAAGGCCCAGCACAGACAGCAACCUCCAUGCUGGCCGUGCCGGGAACCCACUACAGUCGAUCUCCAUGAGGUACAGCCACGUCUGCCAUCCUUUGUCCCUGCACUCCGGGACUAACAGUGUCAGAGCCAGGAUUAUUGGGGAAUUGGCCCGCCUCCCAGCAGGUUUUUCCGAGAGUGGGUGGAAGCUUCAACACCCAGUGCCCCAAUGGCGCCUGUAGUAACGGAGGGACGGCAGGAAACACUAGAGCCGGGGGUGUGGGGCGUGUGUGACAGGGUAUUCUGUCCCUUUGACGUGGCCCAUUUGAGUGCUGGAGCUGUGAAUGAGAGAUGAUUCUCGGAAACUUUCCCAGUGCAUUCAGCAGAGAGGAUAACUCACGGUUUAUAUGAAACGGAGGAAGGGAAGCUAACCCUUCUCUGUCUAACUUCAGCUUUCCCUUCAGCCCUGCCGGAGGAACAGGCACCCGCCCAGGGGACACGGGGUGAUUUACAGAAGACACCAUUAGAAGCUGCUAGACUAAUAGAGGUGACAGUGAGGUUUUGCAUGACUGCAGACAGUGGAAAGGAAGGAACCUUCUAUAUCUGUGACGAGGUUGUGGCCGGCUUUCUCGUGUGUAUUGGGUCCUACUUUGGAUACGCAGAAUUUGACUCCGUGACAGAGUAGGAACUGGCCGAGGAACUUGGUAUCGCACAGUACCGAGGAGAGCAGAAGAGUGUGUGAAAUGAUUGCUCCAUUCAAACCCCACACAUGCUGAAGCAUGGGCUCUCAGAAGGAUGAUGCGAAUGAGUGAAAGGGAGUGAGGGAGAAAGGUACUGAGGAGGAUAAGGGGAAACAGGGUUCUAAAACGACCCUAUCACAGAACAAAGUUUGCAGUGGCAGAAUGAAGGGAGACGGGGGUGGGUGCGGCCGAUCAGUACGAACUCCACAACGCCACCUAAUGACUGGGUAGUCAACGACGUGGUUGGAAUAUCUAUGUUCCCCCUGUUAUGAAUACUGGAUCCACAAAGUAAUGAUGCAAUACUGGACACGAAGUUUAUUUUGGCAUUGAUUGCCCACAACCCAGGUGGGUUGGGACUUGUCAGCAUGUAACGAUGGCCUAUUGCCCCAAGAAGGUCAACUGUGUUACCUAUAAUAUAAUGCCCAUGGUGCUGAUGAUAAGCCACGACUUGAAUCCAGAGUUACCCAGGGGGUCUCCAAGUUACAUGUGCGUUCACCACAUGGUCGGAUGGUGCAGCUGGACCCCUUGUUGAAACUAAAGUAGGAAUCGGCCCCAUAAAAUUUCUUGCAGAUGAUACUAAGGUAGAUGGCGUUGUGGAAAGCUUGUUUCAAAGUUUGCAGAAAGUUAGAAGAGUGGGCUGAACGAUGGCAGAUGGAGUUUAAUGCUGAUAAGUGUGAGGUCCUACAUUCUGGUAGGAAUAAUCCAAAUAGGACAUAAAUGAUAAAUGGGAGGACAUUGAGGAAUGCAGUAGAACCAGUAGAACCAAGGAAUAAUGGUGCAUAGUUCGCUGAAGGUGGAGUCUCAAGUGUAUAGGGUGGUGAAGAAAGCUUUUGGUAUGCUAGCCUUUAUAAAUCAGAGCAUUGAGUAAUGUUAAAAUUGUGCAAUGCAUUAGUAAGGCCGAAUUUGGAGUAUUGUGUACAGUUCUGGUUACCGAAUUAUAGGAAAGAUAUCAACAAAAUAGGCAGAGAACAGAGAAUAUUUACUAGAAUGUUACCUGGGUUUCAGCACCUAAUUUACACGGAAAGGUUGAACAAAUUACGUCUUUAUUCUUUGGAGCAUAAAGGUUUGAGUGGGGACUUGAUAGAGGUAUUUAAAAUUAUGAGGGGGAUAGAUAGAGGUGACGAGGAUAGGCUUUAUCCACUUAGAGUAGGGGAGAUUAAAACAAGAGGACAUGAUUUGAGAGUUAGGGGACAAAAGUUUAAGGGUAACA